GAUUGGGAUUUGCUUCCUGGCUCUGGAGGUUUGGAGGAAACCCAGCUCAACUGUGACUCAAUUGCCUGUUUCUUGGGCUCAUUUGGGACUGGCUGGGGCAGAAGGCGGCCUUGCUUAGCCUUUUAUCCCCAGUGUCUCACAUCGUGCCUAAUAAUAGUAAGCGCUCAACACAUCUGCCUGUUCAACUGAGUGCGAUAUGUCUCCCCUGGAGCAUCCUCUUCUGGGAGAAAGGGACUUCAGGCCUAUCAUGGUGCCUGGCACACAGAAGACAUUCAGCACAUGUUUGGAUCAAUGAAGCAACUUGUUCAAGUCACAGCUCGGAGCAAGGGGCAAAGUGACACUCCAGGCCAUGACUGUCAGCCCCGUGCUGCUUCCUCUAUGUCACCAUCUCCAUCUUCAGUCACUCAAAAUAAACGUGCUGGCGAUUGAAUGUCUAAACGUCUGCCAUAGAAGCUGAGUGGAAAGAAGCCCAAGUGGUCUUCAGGGCAUAGCCUGCUGUGGGAUGAAACCAAGAGAAGGGACUGGGAAGUUUCCAGAUGCUGAGGCUGAAGACACCUAUAAGAGGAUAUGCCUCCGUCCACUGGGAAAAAAUCUUGUUUAAACCUCUACCCCUUAGAAAAAUGUAAAAAUAAAACACGAUAUUCUUUGAGAGCAAAUCUUUCAUAACUUCCCCUACACAUCUUGUGGAUGCCAAUUUAAAAAGAAAAAUCUCGAAUGUAUGUGUGAAUUAAAAAAAAUUUGUAAAGUGUAUCUUUUUAA